AUUGAACGCUUGCGGCAGGCCUAACACAUGCAAGUCGAACGAGUGGCGGACGGGUGAGUAAUGUCUGGGAAACUGCCUGAUGGAGGGGGAUAACUACUGGAAACGGUAGCUCAUACCGCAUACCAUCGGAGGUGCCCAUAUGGGGUUAGCUAGUAGGUGGGGUAAAGGCUCGCCUGGGCGACGAUCCCUAGCUGGUCUGAGAGGAUGACCCGCCGCACUGGAUCUAAGAAUCGGUGCAGACUGGUACGGGACGCAGUCGUGGGGGAUACUGCACCAUGGGCGCAAGCCCGUUGCAGCCAGGCCGUGUUGGUGAAGAAGGCCAUCGGGUUGUAAAGGACGGUCGGCAGGGAGGGGUUACCGGCAGAAGAAGAACCGGCAAACUCCGUGCCAGCAGCCGCGGUAAUAC
rnacentral:rRNA from 1 species